rnacentral:rRNA from 1 species
CCUACGGGUGGCAGCAGUGGGGAAUAUUGGACAAUGGGGGAAACCCUUAUCCAGCGACGCCGCGUGAGGGAAGAAGGUUUUCGGAUUGUAAACCUCUGUCAGUGGGGACGAUAAUGACGGUACGCACGGAGGAAGCCACGGCUAACUACGUGCCAGCAGCCGGGGUAAUACGGAGGUGGCAAGCGUUGUCCGGGAUUACUGGGUGUAAAGGGAGCGUAGGCGGGAUGGCAAGUCAGAAGUGAAAAUUAUGGGCUCAACUCAUAACCUGCUAUUGAAACUGAAAUUCUUGAGUGAAGUAGAGGCAAGCGGAAUUACUCGAGUAGCGGUGAAAUGCGUAGAUAUUAGGAGGAACACCAGUAGCGAAGGCAGCUUACUAGGCUUUUACUGACGCUGAGGCUCGAGAGCGUGGGGAGCAAACAGGAUUAGAUACCCUGGUAGUC